rnacentral:rRNA from 1 species
GUAGGUCCCGAGCGUUAUCCGGAUUUAUUGGGCGUAAAGCGAGCGCAGGCGGUUAGAUAAGUCUGAAGUUAAAGGCUGUGGCUUAACCAUAGUACGCUUUGGAAACUGUUUAACUUGAGUGCAGAAGGGGAGAGUGGAAUUCCAUGUGUAGCGGUGAAAUGCGUAGAUAUAUGGAGGAACACCGGUGGCGAAAGCGGCUCUCUGGCUUGUAACUGACGCUGAGGCUCGAAAGCGUGGGGAGCAAACAGGAUUAGAUACCCUGGUAGUCCACGCCGUAAACGAUGAGUGCUAGGUGUUAGACCCUUUCCGGGGCUUAGUGCCGCAGCUAACGCAUUAAGCACUCCGCCUGGGGAGUACGACCGCAAGGUUG